CGCAGAGUGGAGCAGUCUGGAAGCUCGUCUGGUUCAUACCCAGAAGAUCAUAGGUUCAAAUCCUAUCUCUGCUA
rnacentral:tRNA from 1 species